GUGAAGAACUCUGGUGGUAUACGAUGGUUCCGCGUCUGAUUAGCUAGUUGGUGGGGUAAUGGCCUACCAAGGCAACGAUCAGUAGCCGGCCUGAGAGGGGUGAACGGCCACAUUGGGACUGAGACACGGCCCAGACUCCUACGGAAGGCAGCAG
rnacentral:rRNA from 1 species